rnacentral:lncRNA from 1 species
AGACGUCAUCAGUUUGUUUAACUCAGUGUGUUUUCAAGGCGGCUGGCGCUGCAAGUAUAAAUUCCUUCUCAUUGCAAAGUUAUCAGGGAAUGAUGUGAUUUACUUUUUAUUCUUUCAAAGUAAAAAUUUAUUUGCCUACGUUCCUAGAAGUUCAACGCACUAGAGAUCUCUCGUAGUGUUUCGUGCUUCAAUUUAACGCAGAUGUUAUACGAAAGGUUAAGCAAUGACUCCCUUUUAUAACUAAAUCAAACAAGCUGCCGUUUAAUAUUAGACUUUUUCAAUUUAUAUCCACCAUGGGAUGACAUGAAAAUUUUUAAUUAUAUGUUCUUGUUAAAACGAUUCCAAGCUCAAUCAGGCAGGGAAACUAAAUUAUUAUGUUGAGAAGGCAAAUAGUCUCGUCGUGCAUGGGGACAAAUGUCGAAAGAAAAUGCUUGAUUUUUCAGUAUUCAUUUAACAAACCGUAGCCAUCACGUUUUAAGGUAGCCAUUGCCCAUGCCAUGAGACAUGAAUGAUUGUUAAUCUGAGCUUUCUGAGAAAAGCUGCACAAGGUAUAAUUUUUGACUAUGACAGCUGGUGUUUUUACGUUGUUAAGGUAUUUAUUUUUGGUGCAGUUUGUGGGGUCUGUUCCUUACUAGUCAAGUGGUUUUAUGGAACGACUCAAAACGAGAGGAACACGAUUGAUAAACAAUUGAUUCAUGCACAUUUUUAUUCCAGCGACAUCAAGGGAAAAACCCCUUGCGAUGACUCACUAAGUUUUCAAUGAAUAAUUUAUUGCUUGAAGAUCAAUUGCUGCUUUAAAUAAAACUGCAUUUUUUUGGUGGACCAGCCCAGUACGUGAGGAAAAGAAAUCGGAUUUGACACGGAUUACAGGCCCGUUCCAAAACUUACAAGCCGUCGGAGAGUUUCACAAAUAUCCAAUGACAUUCGAAAAAUCCUCAGGUCACCUGUUGUAUUUUUUCCCUAAUUAUUUUUCAAAUAGCAAACACAUAGUGAAUAAACUUCGUGUAUUCAUUCAUGCAGCACUGAAAAAGCUUUACACCUUACGACGUGAGAAAUGUUGGAAUCAAAGUUCAAUUUUUUGGUUAGCUCUCUUUUUUUCGUUUUCAACGGAAACGAGUUGAACGAUUCUUCUUGUUAAAGAAAACAAAUUCAAUUAUAGCAAUGCUUUUGCUUCGUCAUCAAAAUUUUGUAAACAAUGUCAAUCAAUUUUAUCAGCCAUUAAUUAGUAUCAUCGUGCGGCAUAAAAAAGGUGAAAAACUAAUCUAUGCUUAUGUUUACGAACACUGCUUUACGAACACCGUUUGUAACAUUCAAAAAGACGUGCAACCUUUACAGGAUGUAAAUACUUGAGAGUUACAUCGCAAAGCUGCUGCGACACAUCGCGGAAACGUUGCACAGCACGCGAGAAUAGUCAAAAUGGCGCCAGGAAACCACAUGACUGACUAAAUUUCCAACAAAAACUACAAAAGGGAGUUCCGAAUCAAAUUAGUCUGGUUAUAAAUCUAAUAUACACUGAUGUGAGACAAUUUUCAAAGAGUUUAGACAGGAAAAGUACGAAAAUGUUUGUUACUAGUCGCUUCCUUAACAUGAUUAGAGAGCUCUAGUCGGGAAGCGUGACAGACAUCAUGCAAAUAAGCUUCGUAGACGGGCAUUGGCAAUGUUUAGGGAUUAGUGUGUUCAAUUGUUUCGUGCGCGUGUUUUUGUUUCACAAGAGGGUUACAUGGAGUGUUUACAAAGUGCAGGCGACUCUGUGGCGCUUGGCAUGUAUGUUCUGCUAUAAAUUGGAUGCAAAGCUUCAAAUUUUUGUUUCAUUCGCAACACGUUAGGCGCCAAACGUUCGUUAAGAAACAAUAGCUUAUUAGCACUGGCCGUCAAUAAAAGUUGACAAACGUUAGAACUCGCGUGAAGGUCACUGAUAUUGGAAGAAGUAUCACUUCUUAGCUGUGGAAAACAAUUUGAACUUGCCAGGCAGUAUACACCCAGUGAAGCCCGUUUGUCCGUUUGACAUCAAGAGCUCUGAAUCAUCGCCAACAGCAGAAAACUUAUACCCUGGUACAAACGGAUGGUUCUCCUCUACAGUUCACUCAUGGGGGGACAUUCAAGCGAUUCCACGGAACAUUCCCAAUAUGAUGUGGCCCGUGUUAGAAGAAUGAGAGUGAGAGAAAUUGGAAGGACACUGGCCCGCAUUGGAGACGGUUUGAAUCAAGAAAUACGAGCCCAUCGAACUGUGCGAAGCUCGACAGCUGUGUUUGUUUUUCAGUUGGCCAAUUUAGGGGGCGUUUCUAUGUCUUUUUUGAUACCUGUACGCAUCUCUUUACCGUACCGAGCAGGCGUUUCAAUCCUCGUCUAUAUCAUCAGCUUUUUCAGUGGUGCUAGUUUUAUUUCGGUACCAGAUAGUUAAAUACCAACGCAGAAAGAGAGGACUCUCAUAGCUUUUUUACAUAACUGUUCUUUGAGUUGCGCAGGAAGCGAACUCCUGUGGAUAGUGCACAAACAAGUUGGUAAUAUUUUCUUCGUGCCCGCUGUAACUUUAUGGCUUUUCCCGCUAGAGAAAGAUAUUUUCUUAUGGUGUGAAAUAUUGUAGGAUAUCUUGUAAAUAAAUACCGCAAGAGACAGAAGAUAGAAUCCCCGUUGGCAGUCACGAUGAUGUAUUCAUCUCAGUUUCAAUGACAUGCCUUGAUUCGUCGCCAUUCCGUCAGCUGACUGCUGUGGUUGGAAAAGUGCAGUACGGACAGGGAAUUACAAAACGCCGUGAAAGGAACUCUUUAAUUCGCUUACACAGCGAACAUUUCAAGAAUUUUGGCCGAACGUGGUUUCCUUGAAGCCUGUUAGUAAUUUUGCCUUGACCUUGCAGAAGAUACAGAGAAGACUUCUGACUGAAAGUCAAGUUUACUUACUCUCAAGUUACUACUAAGAGAGAAAACUGAAAAGAACAAACAUCUAUAUUACGUAACCUUCAUGAAUUUUCCAGAAAGCAAUCAGAGAUAAUUACAGCCUGUAAAUCACGUUUUCGCUUUUUCCUUAUUAAAUCAUUUUAGCUAUUUACGAGGAGCAAAGCUUUAUAUAAAUGGCGUUUCGAAUGAAAGCUGCGUCCUCGGUUUGUAAAAUGUAUAUAUUGUAAAAAAUGAAAAAUAGCUAAAUUUAGCCAUGAAGUUAAUAUCAAAAUAAAAUUUGUAGAAGUUUA